rnacentral:rRNA from 1 species
GACGUAGGGCGCGAGCGUUGUCCGGAUUUAUUGGGCGUAAAGAGCUCGUAGGCGGCUUGUCGCGUCGUUCGUGAAAACCUGCAGCUCAACUGCAGGCUUGCGGUCGAUACGGGCAGGCUAGAGUUCGGUAGGGGAGACUGGAAUUCCUGGUGUAGCGGUGAAAUGCGCAGAUAUCAGGAGGAACACCGGUGGCGAAGGCGGGGUCUCUGGGCCGAUACUGA